rnacentral:lncRNA from 1 species
AGAGGACUGAGCCCGGCCUCCGGUGCAAGGAAACCCCAGAGGCCGGAACUAGAAUUGCAAAUUUUUUUUCACCCCGGAUUCCAACGGCAUUCUGUUAUAAGCAACAGAGAAUGAACGAAGACAGAAAAUUGGAACCAAGAAGUGGGAUUUUGCUGAUGACAAAUACCUGAAAAUGGGGAAGCAGCUUUGGAACUAGAGCCCCAACUUUUUACUGAGCACAAUAUAGCCAAAAGAUGACAUUGCCCAGCCUCUUUCGCAGAUAGCUGUGGCUAUUCCAGGAUCCCAGAAAAUGGUAGCCACAAAUGAAGGCCUCUGAAGCAGAACUGCCCUGGAUCUUUACUGUGCUGGUGCCCUCUCGGACUUUCUCUUGCCCUUCUGUCUCUGGCCUCUCAUUCUCCCCCGAGAAAUGGAAACUAGAAUUCCUC